rnacentral:lncRNA from 1 species
GGUUCUACAAAAAAUAUAAAUUCAGAAAGAUAAAUCCAUGUUUUGUAUCGAGUGAGAUAUGACUCUUGCAUGUGUGUAGAUCUUUGUUUUGGUUGCACCGUGUGACUUCUACACGUGGCCGCGUCGCAUAGAAACGACUAGUUCCUACAAAGAUGCAGGGAAAUCCUAGAUGUGCGGCAGCUAAGAUGGCGAGGAACCUCCUGGAAUGGCACAAAACAUGGAUUUAAUGUUUCUGAGUUUUCGCUGUUUUUUGUAGAACCACCUGUAACUGGAAUAAUACAUUUCUAAGACACUCUUUUCACCAAAUCGACAACGAAGAAAGUAUCUCCAAAUACAGAGCCCAGGACCAGUCGUCCAGUGAAGACAUAACAGUUCAGGUUGACGAGGAGGUCUGCCGCCAGAUGAACUCUGUCUUCAAGGAGCUUCUCUCUCGACAAUCCCUCCCUCCCUACUCCUCCACCUCCUCGGUCACCUCAUCCCCCUCUUCCCACCCUCCGCCACAGCAGAAGAAAGGAGGGAUUGGAUGGAGAAGGGAAAAGCCUGUUUAGAUCAGGCCAAUUGGACUGACAGAAAGUGAGAGGGGACCAGGAUAGAUGGAUGGAUGAAUGAAUAUAUUAUUGCGGAAAUGAACGGGGCAGAGACGAGACUCGGACGAGAAGACACACAGAGGGGGGGGGCGAAGAAGAGCGACUCAGAAGACACACAGAGGGGGGCGAUGGAGAGUGACUCGGGCUGAUUGAAUGAUUGUAGGUGUGGGAUGACAGGUUGUGACAGCAGCCUUAGUGUGAUUUACAGAUGGCUGGAUUAAAUGAACCACAGUCAGUUCACUGUACUGUACGUGUCUGCUGAGCUGCUCAGACAGCAGCCUCCAUUGUGGAGAAUAGACAGUCAGACAGACAACGUUUGAAUUGUACUGUGAAGCCUUUUGUUAGUGUGUUUGAUACAACACAACCCUAACCCCCACUCUGAUUUUUCACUCGACGGCUGUAUCUCUAUUCUCCACAUGCCCACCCAUGAAUUUAAAAGCAUUGGAUUGUUGGACGCAUUAGCUGGUGUGUGUACAAGGGCACACUAGGACACAUGUUGAGAAUCAGGACCCAGGACACUGUUAACUAAUCAACAGCAUGAGUAGAUUUAUCAUAAGGUAUUUUACCCACAAUAACUUGGAAUGUGCACUGCUGUAUCCUCAUGCAUGUGGAUGGAUAAACCAUACUACUGUUAUUUUUAUAGAAUCAGUGAUAUACAUCAAGUACUUGCCAAAAAUGUGUGCG